rnacentral:rRNA from 1 species
AAGACCUUGCACUUUUGGAGCGGCCGAUGUCUGAUUAGCUAGUUGGUGGGGUAAUGGCCUACCAAAGCUUCGAUCAGUAGCUGGUCUGAGAGGACGGCCAGCCACACUGGGACUGAGACACGGCCCAGACUCCUACGGGAGGCAGCAGUGGGGAAUUUUGGACAAUGGGCGCAAGCCUGAUCCAGCCAUGCCGCGUGAGUGAAGAAGGCCUUCGGGUUGUAAAGCUCUUUCAGUCGGGAAGAAAAGGUUGCGACUAAUAAUCGCAAUUCAUGACGGUACCGAAAGAAGAAGCACCGGCUAACUACGUGCCAGCAGCCGCGGUAAUACGUAGGGUGCGAGCGUUAAUCGGAAUUACUGGGCGUAAAGGGUGCGCAGGCGGUUUUGUAAGUCAGGUGUGAAAUCCCCGGGCUUAACCUGGGAACU